CAUCUUCCAAAAAGGUGGGAGAGACACACGCUUUUUUCCUCUCGCAAUGAUCAGGGACAGGCUAACAGGAGGACUUCUUCUUUGAAUUUUCCUCUUUAAUUGGGUAAGACUAAAAGAAUAUUAUAAUAAGGUAACUAAUAGAACCGCCAUUGACAUUGCGUGGAUAGGGAAGAGGGCUAGUCAGCUGUCCAGGGAUUCUUAUAUUCCAAUUUAUCUUAUUAUUAAUUGGCAUCACGGCUCUGUAGGACUUGAUCACUCCUUAAGGCUCACUCAAAAGGGAACUAAAACAGGGACUUGAACCCUGGACCCUGAGAUUAAAAGUCUGAUGCUCUACCGACUGAGCUAUCCAGGAUCUACAGUCAAUGAGGGAGUGAGGAGCGACGGGAGAGAUUGUUUAGAGACCCUUUCCGGGACUGGUCUUUGUUCUUCUCAACUGGGAUCUGAAGGUUGACGACAAUCCACAGGAUUGAAGACGACUUUGAGAUGAGGAAAUUGGACUCAGAGUGGGUUGGAAGCUGUGCACGAGCAGCUCAAGGACGUUCCAAAACCGCAUAGCUGUCGACAUGCUCCUCGCAAGAGAGGGAGGUGUUUGCGGUAUGUUUGGAGAACAAACAAUCCUGCUUCAGAUGGCAGCUUGACCAGAGCCAUCGAUGGUCUCCGGACCCUCAAUCAACACUCCUUGUGGGACAGCUGGAUGGACGUUUUUGGUAAAUAUAAAACCCUAAUUUCACCAAUAUUGAUAUCAAUUGCUGUUUUUGCAGCCAUUCUGACAUUGUGUGGAUGUUGUUGUACCCCAUGCAUUCGGGCAUUAAUCAGUAGAUUAAUCACCACAGCAAUUACCCACAUGGAACCGUAUGGAGCAUAUGUAUCCUUUAUUGGAGGUUGAUAAUAAUGACGAUGACGAUGAUGAUGUUGUUUUACCUGAUUUGUUUCCUGAUCCAGGUGAUUACGAUGUUUAAACAACAACAUUCAUGUAUGACAAGUUUACUCUGAGUGUAAAUGUAUUUGUUUCAUAAAAAUGAUUCUACAGUUUAAAAAAUCGAAAUGAGAUGACUGUAAAAUGAUAUGAGAAAUUUGUGCAAAUACAUGAUAAACAGGAGGGAAAUGUUAAAUAUAUUGUAGAAGUUAUCAUUUAUUUGCUUAGCUUGCAUUAGUAUUAUGGACGAUUUUGAGAAAGGAACAUGUCUCGCCUUCAAGAAGAUGACUCAGCAGGAAUCAUCAGAGAGAAGGACGUGGCCGGUACGUGGGAGUGUUGGUCCCAUGUUUUCACCUUGAAACCCUAUCCUUAGUGUGUUGUGUCUUGUAAACUUAGAAACCUCCCUAUUUUCAAAUAAAUGCAGGAGCGACGGGAGAGAUUGUUGAGAGGGUGUUGAGAGGCUGUGAUCUGAACAAUCUCCCAUACGCCCUCCU